rnacentral:rRNA from 1 species
UACGUAGGGUGCGAGCGUUAAUCGGAAUUACUGGGCGUAAAGGGUGCGCAGGCGGCUCCGCAUGUCGGGCGUGAAAUCCCCGGGCUUAACCUGGGAAUUGCGUCCGAAACUAUGGAGCUGGAGUGUGGCAGAGGGAGGUGGAAUUCCACGUGUAGCGGUGAAAUGCGUAGAGAUGUGGAGGAACACCGAUGGCGAAGGCAGCCCCCUGGGCUAACACUGACGCUCAUGCACGAAAGCGUGGGGAGCAAACAGG